rnacentral:ncRNA from 1 species
GAGAGCCGUGUGAUGGGUGACUAUCCAGCACGGUUCAGAGAGCACUUUUAGUCUUUGAUGGUGAAUGGAAGCCCCCUAUCAAGCAAGAAAGAAAUGGCUCUUCCCAUAGCGGAGUCACCAUUGACUCUAU